GAUGAACGCUGGCGGCGUGCCUAAUACAUGCAAGUCGAGCGAACGGACGAGAAGCUUGCUUCUUUGAUGUUAGCGGCGGACGGGUGAGUAACACGUGGAUCAUCUACUUAUAAGACUGGGAUAACUUCGGGAAACCGUCGCUAAUACUGGAUAAUAUUUUGAACCGCAUGGUUCAAAAGUGAAAGACGGUCUUGCUGUCACUUAUAGAUGGAUCCGCGCUGCAUUAGCUAGUUGGUAAGGUAACGGCUUACCAAGGCGACGAUGCAUAGCCGACCUGAGAGGGUGAUCGGCCACACGGGAACUGAGACACGGUCCAGACUCCUACGGGAGGCAGCAGUAGGGAAUCUUCCGCAAUGGGCGAAAGCCUGACGGAGCGACGACGCGUGAGUGAUGAAGGUCUUCGGAUCGUAAAACUCUGUUAUUAGGGAAGAACAUAUGUGUAAGUAACUGUGGACAUCGUGACGGUACCGAAUCAGAAAGCCACGGCUAACUACGUG
rnacentral:rRNA from 1 species